rnacentral:rRNA from 1 species
UAGGGUUUGAUCAUGGCUCAGGAUGAACGCUAGCGGCAGGCUUAAUACAUGCAAGUCGAGGGGCAGCAUGAAGUAGCAAUACUUUGAUGGCGACCGGCAAACGGGUGCGGAACACGUACACAACCUUCCUUUAAGUGGGGAAUAGCCCAGAGAAAUUUGGAUUAAUACCCCGUAACACAACGAAGUGGCAUCACUUUGUUGUUAUAGUUUCGGCGCUUAAUGAUGGGUGUGCGUAUGAUUAGAUAGUUGGCGAGGUAACGGCUCACCAAGUCUACGAUCAUUAGCUGAUGUGAGAGCAUGAUCAGCCACACGGGCACUGAGACACGGGCCCGACUCCUACGGGAGGCAGCAGUAAGGAAUAUUGGUCAAUGGACGCAAGUCUGAACCAGCCAUGCCGCGUGAAGGAUUAAGGUCCUCUGGAUUGUAAACUUCUUUUAUAUGGGACGAAAAAAGGUCUUUCUAGACCCCUUGACGGUACCAUAUGAAUAAGCACCGGCUAACUCCGUGCCAGCCGCCGCGGUAAUAC